UGACCAGAAGACUAGAGUAUGAGCCUUCUGUUAUUCCCUGGGCAGGGCCACCAGAGGGCUCCUUGGUCUAGCGGUAAUGCCA
rnacentral:miRNA from 1 species